rnacentral:rRNA from 1 species
UGCAAGUCGAACGAGCGAGAGAGAGCUUGCUUUCUCGAGCGAGUGGCGAACGGGUGAGUAACGCGUGAGGAACCUGCCUCAAAGAGGGGGACAACAGUUGGAAACGACUGCUAAUACCGCAUAAGCCCACGGGUCGGCAUCGACCAGAGGGAAAAGGAGUGAUCCGCUUUGAGAUGGCCUCGCGUCCGAUUAGCUAGUUGGUGAGGUAACGGCCCACCAAGGCGACGAUCGGUAGCCGGACUGAGAGGUUGAACGGCCACAUUGGGACUGAGACACGGCCCAGACUCCUACGGGAGGCAGCAGUGGGGAAUAUUGCACAAUGGGGGAAACCCUGAUGCAGCGACGCCGCGUGGAGGAAGAAGGUCUUCGGAUUGUAAACUCCUGUUGUUGGGGAAGAUAAUGACGGUACCCAACAAGGAAGUGACGGCUAACUACGUGCCGGCAGCCGCGGUAAAACGUAGGUCACAAGCGUUGUCCGGAAUUACUGGGUGUAAAGGGAGCGCAGGCGGGAAGACAAGUUGGAAGUGAAAUCCAUGGGCUCAACCCAUGAACUGCUUUCAAAACUGUUUUUCUUGAGUAGUGCAGAGGUAGGCGGAAUUCCCGGUGUAGCGGUGGAAUGCGUAGAUAUCGGGAGGAACACCAGUGGCGAAGGCGGCCUACUGGGCACCAACUGACGCUGAGGCUCGAAAGUGUGGGU